GUCUAUGGUCAUACCACCCUGAAUGCCCCCAAUCUCGUCUGAUCUCAGAAGCUAAGCAGGGUUGGGCCUGAUUAGUACCUGAAUGGGAGAGUUGCUACUGAAAUCUAGUAGGUAGAGGCC
rnacentral:rRNA from 1 species